CAAAGGUUUGGUCCCAGCCUUCUUAUUAGUUUAUAGCAAGAUUACACAUGCAAGCAUCUACGACCCUGUGAGAAUGCCCUCUACGUCAAACAGACUUAAAGGAGCAGGUAUCAAGCACACAUCACCGUAGCUCAAAACACCUUGCUAAACCACACCCCCACGGGUUACAGCAGUGAUUAAAAUUAAAAUAUAAACGAAAGUUUGACUAAGCUAUGCUAUAAUCUAGGGUUGGUAAAUUUCGUGCCAGCCACCGCGGUCAUACGAUUAACCCAAAUUAAUAAGUUUCGGCGUAAAGGGUGUUUAGAUUAUUCCUACAAUAAGGUUAAAUUCUGUCUAAGCUGUAAAAAGCCUUUGCCAGAGAAAAAAUAACAUACGAAAGUCACCUUACUAAAAUCUGAAUACACGAUAGCUAAGACCCAAACUGGGAUUAGAUACCCCACUAUGCUUAGCCCUAAACAUAAACCCUUACUAACGCAACCGUUCGCCAGAGUACUACAAGCCACAGCUCAAAACUCAAAGGACUUGGCGGUGCUUUAUAUCCCUCUAGAGGAGCCUGUUCUAUAAUCGAUAAACCCCGAUAAACCUCACCACUUCUUGCUACCACAGCUUAUAUACCGCCAUCUUCAGCAAACCUUAACAAGGAAUCAAAGUAAGCCCAAGUAUUAACAUAAAAACGUUAGGUCAAGGUGUAGCCUAUGAAGUGGAAAGAAAUGGGCUACAUUUCCUUUCCCAAGUACAUUCACGUCAACUUUUAUGAAACCUAAAAGUAAAAGGCGGAUUUAGUAGUAAGCUAAGAAUAGAGAGCCUAGCUGAAUAGGGCCAUGAAGCACGCACACACCGCCCGUCACCCUCCUCAAGCAUGAAUAUAAUUUAUCUAUAAUUAAAUCUCUGCACUUUGCAAGAGGAGAUAAGUCGUAACAUGGUAAGCAUACUGGAAAGUGUGCUUGGA
rnacentral:ncRNA from 1 species